GAAAGAAACAGCAUGAGAAUGGGAGAGGUGCUGCCUGCAGGCCCUGCUUUGCUGCCCAGAUGCAGUGUGUGUUAUCCCUGCUGGAUCUGGGCUGGACUCCAGCUGCCAGCACCAGUCAUCACAGACAACAUUUCUCACGAAGCUCCUGCUCCCUAAAAAUCUUGAGGAAUGAAGAACCGAAUCACAAUCAGUUGAGCAGGUGAUAGGCCCCUCCCGCAUACACUUUCUGACCACCUGUGCUACAUCACAACUUCUCAGCUUGCAAGCAGAGCACCAUGUCAACACAAAGCCUUGUUGGAGAUGCAAGCCUAGAAAUAUACAGUCUUCUUCAGCUCCAGAAAGGGAACAAAAGCCAGCUCUGGAGGCAAGCAAGUUUUAACAAUAUGCAAUAAUUAAAGAAAGGCAAAAACCAAGGGGAAGGAACAACAGAUCUCUGCUUCACAAAUUCUUUGCCAGGAUUUGAUCUGAGAACUCUGUUAGUGCUGGUGUUUUCCUGUUGGCCAAGAGAAACUCAGCAGGAAAGAACAGAUUUUGAUUAAACCACAUCCAUCCAGCUGCCCCACCACUGAAGGCACCCAUCCCUCAGCUUGCUGGCAUUCUGGAAGCAAAGAAAGACCCAAAAUGACUGGAGAAAUGCAGCCUAGAAGAAUAGUUACAUAAGCUAAAAAUAAUGCUGCAAUGCUGAAAACACAAGUACUGCAUGUUUUUAAGACUCUUGCCUUCCUUUUGUCAGUCACAUUUCAGCCUCACCGCUGAAAAAAACCAGACAAAGCAGGGUUAGAUAAAGCUUUCUGCCUGUAUGUUUUGAUAAGUAACAUUUGAGAACAUCCUGGGAUCUGACUGACAUUCAGUACUGUGUCCCUUGUGCCUGUCAGAGAACUCUGCCAGAUGAAGCAGCCUGAUCAUACACCUAAUAAGUACUUCAGCACUACUUUUGGAAUCUAAUAGCACAUCUAAAGGACAAACACAGAGUCACUACCACAGCUGAGCAGAGGCUUUUGGCUCAGCCACCAGCUUUCAUCUGAUAAAGAAAAAUCAUUUGCUUCCAAUGAUUGUCAAGACGAGCAGAAGUCAAACAGGGUGAGUUAAAGCUUUCAGGAAACACACGCUUUCCCCAAACUGGAAACGAGGAGCCAGGAACAGAAAUCAUUACCCUUCACACUGACUGUGAUGUAAGGAUCAAUGCACUGCCCAGCAUCUUUCAGACCAAUUUUCUCUAUGUUGAUGGUGAGUAAUGUCAUCCCGGGUUCAGAUGGCAAUCUGGGUAAUAAAGUACCUGAAAAGAGUAAAGCACAUUGUUAACCUUUGAGUCACCUUACAACAGAGGCCACGUGCAUCCCAACACCUCUGGAGGAUGGUGCUCUCCAACGGGAGAUCCAAACCCCACAAAUCCAAACAGCUCUUAACCCAACAGCACACAGUGCUAUAGGAACGCAUGCACAGCCACACAUAGUCUGACCGAUCUCAAAGUCUGCACCAAGAAAUCCAGGAUUGCUUCAAGACAAAUGAAUUCAUAUGGAAAACCAAAGCCACUGAUGUCCUGAGAACAGAGAAGAGCUUUGUUUAAAGCGUUCUUUCUUGCCCUCAUGCAGAGUAACUCAUGCGUGGAAUUCCAUUUAUAUAGUUUUUAAGGAUUAAAUUUGGGAAGCUGGAUUCAAUCUGCAGCUGCAGGAAGUUCAGGCACUUAAUCAGGAGCACCCACCCCACCGAACAUGACUUGGCUUCAUGCUGAACACUUAAAGCUGGGAAAACAAGGAGGAAAAUGGCAUUGUUGCAAAUCCCACUGGAUGCAAGGGAACCAGAAGAGAGAUUCUUAACUUUGAGUUCUACGGGUCUGUACUUAAAUGAGAGCAUUAAGGAAGGAGUUCCUAGCAGGCAGAAAAUGCUUAGACUCACGAGCAAGUUUAAAUUCAAGUUUUGGUUUUCUAAUAAAAAGAAAGUUAUUCCUAGGCUUGAGAUGUAAAUAAAGUAUUAGUUUCCUUUGGCAAGUU